UCGACAUGCUAUGCUUUCUCUUUUUACUCUGCCACUGUGACCUCCGGGUUCCCGUUAGAGACUCCUCCGUCAGUGUGGGUCUGGGCAUGAAGAGGACACAGAACAGAACAUCUAGCCAGCCUGCAAUGGACACAUAGAAUGGCAGAGGAGUGAAUGGGAGUCAUACAGACCUCCUCCCAAGACCAAACUGGAAUUGCGACUAAAUAGUGGAGAAAUCACCUGGAAAACAAUGGAAUGAUAGAGGGAGAGAAACCUUGGAGCUACAGACAGGCAGUGGAAUCAACUCUCACACAUCCCAACGGGAAUCCUGGCUAAGUAAGCCAAAGAGGUCAUCUAUCAAGAAGAAAGCACCAUUUCUCAACCUUGGUAGUAUGUAAGAAUCAUCUGGAGAAAUUUUAAAAAAUGUUUAAAUUUUUCUAUUGACUUCUCUUAUAGUUGAUUUAUUUAACUUUGUAAGUGAAAAUUUAAAGAUGUUAUAGCAAUGCUUUUUACUUAUUUUUAAUUUUUUUUGUUUGUUUAAAGCUUAACUCAAAAGGGAAUCAUUACUAGACCUGUGAAAAAUUACCUGCCUAGUUUUAUUGAAACCUUUCUGCAGUGUUUGAGCUUUAAGACAUCUUCCUUCCCUUGCGACUUCCUUAUAAUUUUCAUUUUGAAUUUUUAUGAUGUCAUGGGGAAAUGCUUCUUCAGUGUUUCUAAACUAAUCAACACUUUGAUUCCCUAUUCAAAUGAUGUCCCCAUUGAGAAAGACACUAAUUUUAAGAUCUGCAUGGCUAAACAGAGUCUCAAGCUCAAGUUUCCCACUACUAUCAACAGAUUGUGGAAGAAAGGAAACUACUGAUUAAAAUACUGAAAUGAAAUCGCUGGUUUCUGGAAAAAAACAUGACUUUCAGAGAAAAAUAAGAUACUUUACAUAAAAAAUAUUCCUGCUAAAAAUAUAAUUUUUCAGGAAAAUUAUACCUUUGUUGCCACACAGCUGAUGGUGUAGAAU